UAAGGAAUAUUGGACAAUGGAGGCAACUCUGAUCCAGCCAUGCCGCGUGCAGGAAGAAGGCGCUAUGCGUUGUAAACUGCUUUUGUACCAGAGAAAAUCACUGUACGUGUACGGUGUUGAUAGUAUGGUAAGAAUAAGCAUCGGCUAACUUCGUGCCAGCAGCCGCGGUAAUACGAAGGAUGCGAGCGUUAUCCGGAUUUAUUGGGUUUAAAGGGAGCGUAGGCGGUCUUAUAAGUCAGUGGUGAAAUCUCGUUGCUUAACAACGACCGUGCCAUUGAUACUGUAGGACUUGAGUACAGUUGCCGUUGGCGGAAUGUGUCAUGUAGCGGUGAAAUGCAUAGAUAUGACACAGAACACCGAUUGCGAAGGCAGCUGACGAAACUGUAACUGACGCUGAGGCUCGAAAGCGUGGGGAUCAAACAGG
rnacentral:rRNA from 1 species